UACGGAGGGUGCAAGCGUUAUCCGGAUUCACUGGGUUUAAAGGGUGCGUAGGUGGAUUAGUAAGUCAGUGGUGAAAUCUCUGGGCUUAACUCAGAAACUGCCAUUGAUACUAUUAGUCUUGAAUACCGUGGAGGUCAGCGGAGUAUGUCAUGUAGCGGUGAAAUGCUUAGAUAUGACAUAGAACACCAAUUGCGAAGGCAGCUCACUACACGAAUAUUGACACUGAGGCACGAAAGCGUGGGGAUCAAACAGG
rnacentral:rRNA from 1 species